GAAACUGUGGGUAAUACCGGAUAAUGUCCCCGGACCAAAGAUUUAUUGCCGGAGGAUGGGUCUGCGUCCUAUUAGCUUGUUGGUGGGGUAAUAGCCUACCAAGGCUUAGAUGGGUAGCGGGCGUGAGAGCGUGGCCCGUCUCACUGGGACUGAGACACUGCCCAGACACCUACGGGUGGCUGCAGUCGAGAAUCUUCCGCAAUGGGCGAAAGCCUGACGGAGCGACGCCGCGUGCGGGAUGAAGGCCUUCGGGUUGUAAACCGCUGUCAGAGGGGAGCAAAUCUAGCAAUAGUUGAGCGAUCCUCAGAGGAAGCGCAGGCUAAGUUCGUGCCAGCAGCCGCGGUAACACGAACUGCGCGAACGUUAUUCGGAAUCAUUGGGCUUAAAGAGUUCGUAGGCGGCCUGAUAAGUUGGGUGUGAAAUCCCUCGGCUCAACCGAGGAACUGCGCCCAAUACUGUCAGGCUUGAGGGAGACAGAGGUGAGCGGAACUGAUGGUGGAGCGGUGAAAUGCGUUGAUAUCAUCAGGAACACCGGUGGCGAAAGCGGCUCAC
rnacentral:rRNA from 1 species